CAUAGACAUGUAUAUAUGUCUAUGAUGGGAGAGAUACCACAGAGAUAGUAGUAUAACUAAUUGACUGCCUAGAAAACAAAACGUCAAAAAGAAUGUCAGAGAAAAAUAUGACUAUUAUUACCACUGUUGAAUAAAAAGGAAUGAACCGAGCGACAAAACUCGAGUGAACAUUGCAUUGGUUCAGCUUUUCAGUGAUGGCGAGAGCUCCGGGACUUGAAAGUUUCAAAACUAAGUGACGCUGAUCUUACAGUAUUUCUGCUUGACAGUGGUAAGUGGGAUGCUCAUCCUCUGCUGGGGUGGUGCCAUGCAUUGUGAAGCAAAGGUUGAGAGAGGACCUGUUUGAUGAACCUGUUAAUGAACCUUGCUUCAAAUAGCAUGAACUGGAAAUACAAUGGCAGGGACAGGGAGUCAGAAGAUGAGGCUGAAUGAGUGGACCAUGCCCCUGACUUGGAGGCUCACACAGAAGACCAUGCCCCUGACCCACAUAAUCACUGGAAAGACCAUGCACCUGACUUGCUGAGUCACCUGGAAAACCAUGUUCCUUUCCCUGAGAAUCAAGGACCGGAUUUGGCCACCCCUGGUCUAUGUCAAGGUGCUGGAAAGGAGGCUAUAACCGAUAGUGGAUCCCCAGAUUCAAGAGGAACAAUGUGG